ensembl:lncRNA
AACAUUCAUCUCUACUUGGGCCAAGGAAUGGUAGCUUUGGAACUAUUCAAGUUUGGGCACUGGGAAUCAGUCUGGAAGACUGGCUUCUGACCCUGCUCUGCAGCUCUGGGACCACUGCUUGAAGCCUGAGAUGUCCACACUUGACACUGUGUCACCUCCAGGCACCUGGAACUCUUCCAGUUGGCUCCAUCGCCUCACCUUUCUGGAACAUGCAGUGUCUCCUCCACCUGAGGCAGUGCUGAGGAAGAGCUGAUCGGCUCUAUCUCUUGGUGACAAGAGACAAAACCUAGUUCACAGGGAACCCUAGUGCAGAACAGGACAGGGUGGGUAGAUGUGGGGGAACUAGGCUGUCGUUUGUGGGCAGCUAGGCAUUGAACAGGGCAGACACCUCCCAGCAGAAGUCCACAGUAGAAUACCGGAGCUCAGGAGCACUUUCAGAGGGAGACAUUCAGUCUGUAAAACUGCUCUGUGUUCAGACAGCUGGCACUCCGAGAAGACAGUGGAUUAACAUCCUAAAAACCUGUCUUCUGUUUCAGCUCCAGCCCGGAGAUUACAGAGGGGGAGGGGCCAAGGCAGUCAGUCAUUGCAGGGCUCAGGCUGGCCCCUCUGGUGAGGUGGUUUGUUUGGAGUUGGGACACCCCUGCUUCCCUCCUUGUCCUUUGCACAUGUCUCUCCUCUGUGACUGCUUGUUAGGCACAUACGGAUCCUGAAAUGCCAAGGCAAGGUAGGUGCUGCUGGCACCAACGCUUUCGUAUACUCAUCUAGGGGCAUCUGGACCAGGACAGGGAGGACGCAAACAAGCGAAACACGACCAGUGUGUGCAUGCUAAGCUGUUACAUUCAUCACAUGAAUAUGCCAUUUCCUUUUUACAAUAUGGAGGACAGCUGCAUCUCUGUCAUGCACAAGGGUCUCUGUGAGCCUGAUGUCAACCUUCGGGACAAAGGGUAACUGCUGGGCCACAUGAAUGUUCAAUGCCUCUUGACUGCUGCCAAGAACCUGUGUUCCUCCUCCUGUGUUUGCUUCAACUAAAGGU